AUUCAAGUAGUUUAAAUUAGAAUGAUAAUUUGUGGAGUUAUAGGUAUAUUAUAUAUCUUGGAUA
rnacentral:tRNA from 1 species